rnacentral:rRNA from 1 species
AGAUUGAACGCUGGCGGCGUGCUUAACACAUGCAAGUCGAGCGGAAAGGCCCUUCGGGGUACUCGAGCGGCGAACGGGUGAGUAACACGUGAGCAACCUGCCCUUAGCUUCGGGAUAGCUCCGGGAAACCGGAAUUAAUACCGAAUAUGACUUUGGCUGACAUCAGCAGAAGUGGAAAGUUUUUCGGCUAGGGAUGGACUCGCGGCCUAUCAGCUAGUUGGUGAGGUAACGGCCCACCAAGGCGACGACGGGUA